rnacentral:misc_RNA from 1 species
AACGCAUAUUGCACUCUCUGGCAUUCCGGAGAGUAUGCCUGUUUGAGGGUCAGUUAAAAAAAAUCAAGCGUUAUUGCUUUUUGUGAUGACGUUUUGGAAUUGAGUCGUCUUAACCUUACGGUCAAGUGACUUAAAAUUUUAAUGUGAUUUUCGAAACGUAUUUAAUAUUUUACGUACGUUUGCGAUAUCAAAUAAUCUAUUAGAUGUGGUCAUUUUCCAUGAUUUCGCGUCUAUAGUUUUUCAUUAAAUGACCUCAAAUCAGGUAAGAGUACCCGCUGAACUUAA